rnacentral:rRNA from 1 species
UGGCGAACGGGUGAGUAAUACAUCGGAACGUGCCCAGACGUGGGGGAUAGCUCGGCGAAAGCCGGAUUAAUACCGCAUAAGCUCUGAGGAGGAAAGCGGGGGACCGUAAGGCCUCGCGCGUUUGGAGCGGCCGAUGGCAGAUUAGGUAGUUGGUGGGGUAAAGGCUUACCAAGCCUACGAUCUGUAGCUGGUCUGAGAGGACGACCAGCCACACUGGGACUGAGACACGGCCCAGACUCCUACGGGAGGCAGCAGUGGGGAAUUUUGGACAAUGGGCGAAAGCCUGAUCCAGCAAUGCCGCGUGCAGGAUGAAGGCCUUCGGGUUGUAAACUGCUUUUGUACGGAACGAAAAGGCGCCUACUAAUACUGGGUGUUGAUGACGGUACCGUAAGAAUAAGCACCGGCUAACUACGUGCCAGCAGCCGCGGUAAUACGUAGGGUGCGAGCGUUAAUCGGAAUUACUGGGCGUAAAGCGUGCGCAGGCGGUGUUGUAAGACAGUUGUGAAAUCCCCGGGCUCAAC